AGAUUGAACGCUGGCGGCAGGCCUAACACAUGCAAGUCGAGCGGCAGCACGGGUACUUGUACCUGGUGGCGAGCGGCGGACGGGUGAGUAAUGCCUAGGAAUCUGCCUGGUAGUGGGGGGAUAACGCUCGGAAACGGACGCUAAUACCGCAUACGUCCUACGGGAGAAAGCGGGGGACCUUCGGGCCUUGCGCUAUCAGAUGAGCCUAGGUCGGAUUAGCUAGUUGGUGGGGUAAUGGCUCACCAAGGCGACGAUCCGUAACUGGUCUGAGAGGAUGAUCAGUCACACUGGAACUGAGACACGGUCCAGACUCCGUACGGGAGGUAGCAGUGGGGAAUAUUGGACAAUGGGCGAAAGCCUGAUCCAGCCAUGCCGCGUGUGUGAAGAGGUCUUCGGAUUGUAAGCACUUUAAGUUGGAGGAAGGCAGUUACCUAAUACGUAUCUGUUUGACGUUACGACAGAAUAAGCACCGGCUAACUCUAGUCGCCAGCAGCCGUACG
rnacentral:rRNA from 1 species